GAUGAAGAACGUAGCGAAGUGCGAUAAGUAAUGUGAAUUGCAGAAUUCAGUGAAUCAUCGAAUCUUUGAACGCACAUUGCGCCCGCCAGUAUUCUGGCGGGCAUGCCUGUCCGAGCGUCAUUUCAACCCUCGAACCCCUCCGGGGGGUCGGCGUUGGGGAUCGGCCCUGCCUCUUGGCGGUGGCCGUCUCCGAAAUACAGUGGCGGUCUCGCCGCAGCCUCUCCUGCGCAGUAGUUUGCACACUCGCAUCGGGAGCGCGGCGCGUCCACAGCCGUUAAACACCCAACUUCUGAAAUGUUGACCUCGGAUCAGGUAGGAAUACCCGCUGAACUUAAGCAUAUCAAUAAGCGGAGGA
rnacentral:misc_RNA from 1 species